rnacentral:rRNA from 1 species
GUCUAUGGCCAUACCACCUUGAAUGUGCUCGAUCUCAUCUGAUCUCGGAAGCUAAGCAGGGUCAGACCUGGUUAUUACUUGGAUGGGAGACCACCUAGGAAGCCCGGAUGCUGUAAGCA